CCUUUAGCUCAGCCUUUCUCAUGAGGUCUCAGGACCCAGUGGUCUAAGACAAAUGCUGAAACCUUGUCUGUCCUGCAGGAAAAAUAUCAUUUACUCCAUCCCUCAGUGAGAGGCUGCAUGGGACUGCGUUGGUUUGUAAAUUGUGGCAGGAUGAGAGCAGUUAAUGUGGAGUAGGAAUGAUUCAUUUUUCUGCUCCUAAAAUGCUGCAUCCUUCUCAUAAGGACUUCCUGCAUCCUUUGUCACCACCUCACAACAUCAUCGCGGUGGCCAAAUGGCCUGUGGAGGCUGGAAAAAACAUUAAGCAGUUAGGGAUCAUGAUCGCUCCGGCACUUCCAGAAGGCCACGUUAGCCUCCGUGACUGCAGCCAGCAUUCACCAGCACCGUUAGGCGCCCAGACUGUGGGUUGCAUGGAGCUUCCUUGUGACUCAAAGCAAUUUUCAUUUACAAUCUAGAGCUGAACACGCGUUACCAAAGAGUGCAUAAAUAAAAGCCUUCAGGCUUAUUGCACAAAUGGGAUUUGUGCCCUUCCUUGAAUUCCAGCAGCUCCAUGGAGGGAGUGCACACAUGCUGCUUUUGGGUAGGAUCAUGAGAUAGUAUGGGGAAUUAAAGACAUAGCCAGGUUACUGCAGCUAUCUGUGCCCUAGUGUCCUCAGCUGUAAAACACGUUUCCCUUGCAUUGACCUUUAGGCUAAACAGUAUAAAUCUGUAGGCCUGGAGCUGCUACACACAAAAGGCUACACCAAAACAGGAAAACUGGGGGCUAUUGAGAAAGCAGAGGAAGGGGACGCAUUUAAUGUAGGAGCAUUGUGGGCAACGUCUCCGCUUUUGCUCCCUCCUACCAAAACCUGAAUUUGCUCCUUGCGUUGUUUUUUGUUGUUGUUGUCGUAAAUAACUGAUGUGUGAAAUGCUGACUCAUAAGUCUGGGGUUACAGGAAAGGAAACUUCGUUUCUUGGUUAAAAAAAGUUAAUUUCACAGCAUCGGUGGCUUCCUCCAGGGCUGGCUGGUGAGACCUUGGCCACACAGCGCGCCCUGCAGACACGGCUGGUCGGCUGGUGGUUGGGUUUGUUGGUCUGCAACCAGGAACCCAAAUGCUCUGCCAGGAGGCUGGUGACCCCUCUGAAUGAAGAGGAGCCUGGCUGAGCUCCAGAAGCAGAUGCUGGCCUUCCCCAGUUGCUGUUGUGUCAAAUAACAGUGACGAGUCCUCCCAGAGCUCAGAACAUGGGCUGCUCGGUGCUGCAGCCUUAGCACGAAGCCCUUCACUCCUCAAACACCUUACCAUAAAGGAACAGAGGGCACGUUAUCUGCACCUCACAGGAGAGAAGAGCCUCAGAUCCUUACAUUUGUCUCAGCACCUGACCUGCACUGGUUUGCACAGCUCUCAGGCACUCGCGCUCCUGCAGUGAGCCACACGCCAGUGACUCACCCGGCGUCAGACGGAAAGUCUGCAGCAAAGACAACUUCAACUCUUCUGGCGCUCACGGAGGCACUUCUAGCACCCAGGGCGCAGUGACACUUCCCCUCACUCCCUUCAAGCAGCAUUAUUUCGUCGCGUCUGCCAGGCACAAUUUGCUGCUGGGAUUUUGCUACUUUUAUCUCUGCUCUUUGAUGGACACCCCUGCGACACUUUUGACUCAUCUUCCUUCUAAUAUUGUCGUGAUAGGAUUCGACGCCCCCUCCUUUCUGCCCAGACUUUGUAGAAAAGGGGAAUUUGGAAACCUCGUUCUUGAGCAACUGAUGAUAGCAGCUCCAUUGUGCCUAAGAAAAUCAGUCACAGUCUGUGCCUCCAAAAACCGUAGGCAUUUUGUUGCUAUAGCUGUGCGUUGUGUUGCCUAUGGCUGUGCGAGGCGCACAAUAGAGAACCGGCCUCUGUCCCACAGAGCUUGAAGUCUUAGCAGCAACCCAUACACCAAAUGUUUACUGUAUAAAUAUUUAGCUAAACAAAGCAUCCCAGUCACAUAAAAGCUCCAUAGCUCAGAAAGGUCAAUGGAGAAACGAGUUUUUCAGGAGGCUGGGUUUAUCCAUAGUAUGGCAACGUGCAGAGCUUCCUUGUCAUGUCUAGAGUGAAGUGAAAGCUCAGAGGGACAGAAGGAAGCUGAGAUGUAAGCCCUUCUCAUUCAAACCUUUCCCUUGCAAACCUUUCCUAAGUAAAAUAUUCCCCACUAGAAAAAGUAAAUAAAUAAAAAAAUAGAAGCUCCAAAAGUUGAGCAGCAUCUUCCUACGUUGGGCUGAUGGAGCUGGGAAGUGCUCAGUGCCUGUUGGACAAAGAGAUAGCUCAGAUGUGGGGUAGAAAGGGAGUUAUACUGGCUUGAAAUCCUUCUAUCAUGGCAGAUCAGUUCCUUGAGUAUAUGUCAACAGGUACAGAUGCUGCUGUGUGUAUGUA